UACGGGGGGAGCAAGCGUUGUUCGGAUUUACUGGGCGUAAAGGGCGCGUAGGCGGCCUCUGCAAGUCGACUGUGAAAUCUCCGGGCUUAACCCGGAACUGCCUUCGAUACUGCGGGUCUCGAGUCCGGGAGAGGUGAGUGGAAUUCCUAGUGUAGAGGUGAAAUUCGUAGAUAUUAGGAAGAACACCAGUGGCGAAGGCGGCUCACUGGCCCGGUGCUGACGCUGAGGCGCGAAAGCGUGGGGAGCAAACAGG
rnacentral:rRNA from 1 species